AGCAAAGACAUGGAAUCAACUUAAAUGUCCAUCAAUGAUUGACUAGAUAAAGAAAAUGUCAUGCAUAUACACCAUGGCAUCCUAUGUAAUCAUAAAAAGAAUUAGAUCAUGUUUUUGCAGGGACAUGGAUGGAUUUAGAAGCCAUUGUCCUCAGUGAACUAAUGCAGGAACAGAAAACGAAACACUGCAUGUUCUCACUUACAAGUAGGAGAUGUAUUAUGAGAACACAUGGACACAUGGGGGAGAACAACACACACUGGGGGCUGCUGGAGGGGGUAUUGGGGUAGAUAGAGCAUCAGGAAGAGAGCAUCAGAAAGAA